AGAGUUUGAUCCUGGCUCAGGAUGAACGCUAGCGACAGGCUUAACACAUGCAAGUCGAGGGGCAGCGGGGAGUAGCAAUACUUCGCCGGCGACCGGCGCACGGGUGAGUAACACGUGUGCAACCAACCCCGUACCGGGAGAUAACCCGCGGAAACGUGGACUAACACCCCAUGAUACUUCAAGGUCGCAUGGUCUUGAUUUUAAAAGUUAAUGGUACGGGACGGGCACGCGCGACAUUAGGUAGUUGGCGGGGUAACGGCCCACCAAGCCGACGAUGUCUAGGGGUUCCGAGAGGAAGGUCCCCCACACUGGAACUGAGACACGGUCCAGACUCCUACGGGAGGCAGCAGUGAGGAAUAUUGGUCAAUGGGCGAGAGCCUGAACCAGCCAAGUCGCGUGAGGGAUGAAUGGUCUAUGGCCUGUAAACCUCUUUUGUCAGGGAAGAAUAAGUGGUACGUGUACCAUGAUGCCAGUACUUGACGAAUAAGCAUCGGCUAACUCCGUGCCAGCAGCCGCGGUAACACGGGGGAUGCGAGCGUUAUCCGGAUUUAUUGGGUUUAAAGGGCGCGUAGGCGGGAUGCCAAGUCAGCGGUAAAAGACUGCAGCUAAACUGUAGCACGCCGUUGAAACUGGUGACCUCGAGACGAGUCGAGGAUGGCGGAACAAGUGAAGUAGCGGUGAAAUGCUUAGAUAUCACUUGGAACCCCGAUAGCGAAGGCAGCUGUCCAGACUCGAUCUGACGCUGAUGCGCGAGAGCGUGGGUAGCGAACAGGAUUAGAUACCCUGGUAGUCCACGCCGUAAACGAUGCUCACUGGAUCUUGGCGAUACACAGUCAGGGUUCAAGCGAAAGUAUUAAGUGAGCCACCUGGGGAGUACGUCGGCAACGAUGAAACUCAAAGGAAUUGACGGGGGCCCGCACAAGCGGAGGAACAUGUGGUUUAAUUCGAUGAUACGCGAGGA
rnacentral:rRNA from 1 species